GAAUAUUAAACCUAGAGCAUAUAAUGGAUGCCUUGGUUCUGAGAGGCGAUGAAGGACGUAUUUUAACAACGAUAAGUUGCGUGUAUUUGUAAAAUAAAGUUAAUACGCAAAUUUCCGAAUUGGGUAACCAGUUAUAUUUAAGAUAUAACAUUAUUUUCUUUAAAAAGAAAAUAAAGCUAACCUGAUGAACUGAAACAUCUUAGUAGUCAGAGGAAAAUAAAACAAAAGUGAUUUCGUUAGUAGUGGCGAGCGAAAGCGAAACAGUCUAAACUAUAAAUAUAAUUUAUAUAUUUAUAGGGUUACAGGACUAUAAUAAAUAUUUUAUUAAAAAAUAUUAGAAAUAUUUGGAAAAAUAUACCAUAGAUGGUGAUAGUCCAGUAAAUUAAAUUUUUUAAUUAAAAUAAUAUAGUAUCCUAAGUAAAACGAGACACGAGAAAUCUUGUUUGAAUUUGCCAGGACCAUCUGGUAAGACUAAAUACUACUCAGAAACCGAUAGUGAACAAAGUACCGUGAGGGAAAGGUGAAAAGUAUUCCGAAUAGGAAGAUGAAAUAGAUCCUGAAAUUAUAUGCUUACAAUCAGUCGGAGCUUCUAUAUAUUUUUUAUAUAUAUGAAGUGACGUCUUGCCUUUUGCAUAAUGAACCUACGAGUUAAUUUUACUGGCAAGGUUAAGUAAAUUUAUUUAUGGAGCCAUAGUGAAAGCGAGUUUUAAAAGAACGUUUUAGUCAGUAUAAUUAGACGCGAAACCGAGUGAUCUAUCUAUGAGCAGGUUGAAGUUAUGAUAAAACAUAAUGGAGGACCGAACCGGUAGAUGUUGAAAAAUCUUCGGAUGACUUGUGGAUAGGAGUGAAAGGCUAAUCAAACUCGGAGAUAGCUCGUACUCCUCGAAAUGCAUUUAGGUGCAGCAUUAUUUAAUAAUAUUAUAUAGGUAGAGCUACUAAUUUGAUGAGAGGUUUUAAAAAACUAUUGAUUCUUAAUAAACUCCGAAUUAUAUAAUAUGUUUAAUAAUAGUGAGGUUAUGGGUGCUAAGAUCCAUAACCAAAAGGGAAACAACCCAGAUCAUCAGCUAAGGUCCCUAAAUAUAUACUAAGUUGAUUAAACGAAGUUUUUUUUCUUAAACAACUAGAAUGUCGGCUUGGAAGCAGCCAUCAUUUAAAGAGUGCGUAACAGCUCACUAGUCUAGAAAUUAAGCGCGGAUAAUAAGCGGGCAUAAGUAUAUUACCGAAGCUAUGAGAUUAUUUAUAAUUUAUAUUAUUUAUAAUCGGUAGGGGAGCAUUGUAAUUUUGUUGAAGUUAUAUUGUAAAAUAUAAUGGAAAAAUUACAAAAGAAAAUGUAGGUAUAAGUAACGAUAAUAUAGGUAAAAAACCUAUACACCGUAAAACUAAGGUUUCCUCAGCAAUGUUAAUCAACUGAGGGUUAGUCGGGUCCUAAGAUGAAGCCGAAAGGUGUAAUUGAUGGAUAAUCGGUUAAUAUUCCGAUACUUGUUUAUUAUAAUAUGAUGGGAGGACGAAGUGGUGAAACUAUUGCGUAAUAAUGGAUUGUUACGUUGAAAUAUAAAGGAAUAGAAAAUAUUGUAAAAUGCAUAUUUUCUUCCAAAAUAUGAUAGUACUAUUUUAAAAAUUUAAAAUAGAUAAUAUAGGUAAUAGCUUCCAAGAAAAUUCUCUAAAUUUAAUAAUAAACAACUCGUACCAAAUCCGACACAGGUAGUUAAGGAGAGAAUCCUAAGGUGCUCGAGUGAUCCACAGCUAAGGAACUAGGCAAAAUUAACUUGUAACUUCGGGAUAAAAGUUGCCAAAAUAUAAAUGGUUAUAUUUUGGUCUCAGUAAAAAGAUUCAGACGACUGUUUAUCAAAAACACAGGACUCUGCUAAAAUCGAAAGAUGAUGUAUAGGGUCUGACACCUGCCCGGUGCUGGAAGGUUAAAUGAGAUUGUUAAUAUAAAAAGAAUAUUUAUAUUUUUUUUAUAUGAAGCUUUUGAUUGAAGCCCCAGUAAACGGCGGCCGUAACUAUAACGGUCCUAAGGUAGCGAAAUUCCUUGUCGGGUAAGUUCCGACCUGCACGAAUGGUGUAACGAUCUGAAUACUGUCUCAGCUGUGAGCUCGGUGAAAUUGUAAUAUCGGUGAAGAUACCGAUUACUCGCAAUGGGACGAAAAGACCCUGUGAACCUUUACUAUAACUUCGUAUUGAAUUUUAUUAAAUGAUGUGUAGAAUAAGUGGGAGACUAUGAAGCAUUAUCGUUAGGUAAUGUGGAGUCGUCAGUGAAAUACCACUCUUUAUUUAUUAAAAUUCUAACUAAUAUAUAAAAAUAUUAGGACAAUGCGUGGUGGGUAGUUUGACUGGGGUGGUCGCCUCCUAAAAAGUAACGGAGGCUUCCAAAGGUGCUUUCAACACGGAUGGUAAUCGUGUGUAGAGUAUAAUGGCAUAAAAGCGCUUAACUGUAAGAUAGACAUAUCGAACAGAUACGAAAGUAGGGCAUAGUGAUCCGGUGGUUCUGUAUGGAAAGGCCAUCGCUCAAAGAAUAAAAGGUACUCCGGGGAUAACAGGCUAGUCUCCCCCAAGAGCUCAUAUCGACGGGGAGGUUCGGCACCUCGAUGUCGGCUCGUCACAUCCUGGGGCUGUAGAAGGUCCCAAGGGUUGGGCUGUUCGCCCAUUAAAGUGGCACGCGAGCUGGGUUCAGAACGUCGUGAGACAGUUCGGUCUCUAUCUAUUGCGAGCGUUAGAAACUUGAAUGGAGCUAAUUCUAGUACGAGAGGACCGAAUUGGGCAAGCCAAUGGUGCAUCAGUUGUAUUACCAAAUGCAUAGCUGAAUAGCUAAGCUUGUUAAAGAUAAGCACUGAAAGCAUAUAAAGUGCGAAACUAACCAUAAGAUUAAGUUUCUUCAAAGGAUAGUUGUAGAUUACAACUUAGAUAGGCUAUAAGUGUAAGAAUAGUAAUAUUUUUAGCUAAUUAGUACUAAUUAUCCGUAUUAAUAUUAAA
rnacentral:rRNA from 1 species